GGGAAUAUGAUAUCAAAGAGAGUAUUAAAAACUAAGUUCAAUGUACAAUAGGGUGUUUCAUACUCAGGUCAAAACUUAAAAAAUCAGAUUUACCAUUGGCAUUAUAAAAAAAGGAGUAGGUGUAACAGAACUUCCUUUUCAUCAACCUGGAACCUACCAUGCCUGCCAUAUAGCCAGAUACAGGCUUCUUGGCAAAUUGUUUAUACCUAUACCCUGAGGAUGACUAAAAUGGUAGCCUAAUUUAUUUGAAUUUUGUAUUAUAUAUUAUUCUAUACAAAGCUCAUAUAUUCAUCCUUUAUUGACCAAAUUACCUUGGCGCUGAGUUGGGUGUGGCUGGAUAUGAACUUGUAUCGCUUUCAACUUGUAACACUUUUUUUACUUUGAAAUAAAGUACCGCUACCCAAAACUAAUACUUUCUGUCACUAUGUUGCGCCUUGUUUAAUAUUUAAAAUAUAAAUUAGUUGUUGAUCUUAACCGACAAUGAUUUUAAAGUGGUGGUAACAAAAAUUUUCAAGAAUUCGGUCAAGUGUGAUGCAGUUUCAUAUAGGGAAACCAAAGGUUUUUAGCAUAUAAACGGUGCAAGUUGAACUUUUAAUUUACCAAAGCUAAAUCCAGUUCAAAGUAGCUAAGUAUCUUUUUGAAAAGGGGAAAAAUUUGAUCAAGAGAGAUGCCAAUCAGACAUUUGUUAUACUUGCAACAUCACUUUUAAGUUUCUGGAAUCAUUUUUAUUUA